CAGUCGGACGACCCGCGGAUCAUCUUCGAGAACACGCGCAAGGAGAUGUCCUUCAUCCGUGUCCUCAUCCAGCACCUGGACACCAGCUUCAUGGAGGGCGUCCUAUAGCGGCUGCCACCGCGCCGUCCCCACCCCGCCACCCCGUCCCCUCCGAGGGUCAAAGUCCCCAGGUGGUGGCACAAUCUCCACCAAGAACCAGGAGGUCCGUGAGGUUCUCCACCACGUGGUGAGCUCCAUCUCCACCAAGAACCUGGAGGUCCAUGAGGUUCUCCACCACGUGGGGAGCUCCAUCUCCACAAGAACCUGGAGCUCCAUGAGGUUCUCCAGCUUCACCACGUGGUGAGCUCCAUCUCCAGCGGGGCCUCAUGGACAGAGAGCAUCCAGGGAUUGUCUCUGUCCUUUCCUGCCAGACAAGGAGAAGUCCUUGAGGUCCAUCCCGACCUUCUGGCUGUGUCACUGCCUGGUUCUUCUCUGGGGGAGCCACAAGGAACAUCCCAGCUCUGAGGGGUCUCCAUGGGGUUGGGAAGGUGGGAGAAGUUCAUCUGGCCACCAGGGGACUACCGUGACAAUUGUCCCCCACAGGAAAGAGACCUGGGAGGUCCCCGUGGGAGUGGUGGCCCAGGGGGGGGUCAUGGUGGCUGAUUGUCCAUCCUGGAAGAGCUGGGUGGGGUGGAUGUCCCCAUGUGUCACCACUUCCAUCCUGUCCCACACAUGUUGGUACCACCAGGACCUGUCCCAGAACCCACCGGGUCUGCCCGACCCUGUUGGACCUGUCCCAGGACCUCCCAUCUGCUCCUGGUUCUUCUGGGCCCAUCUUGGGGUCCACCAUCAUCUCCUGGAGCCAUCUUGGGGUCCAGCAUCUUCUUCUGGAGCCAUCUUGGGGUUCAUCAUCUUCUCCUGGAGCCAUCCAGGUGUCCAUCAUCAUCUCCAGGUCCUCCAAGACCCAUCCUGGUGUCUCUCAUCUCCUCCAGCUUCUCCUGGACCCAUCCUGGUGUCCAUCAUCUCCAGCUUCUCCAAGACCCAUCCUGGUGUCUGUCAUCUCCUCCAGCUUCUCCUGGACCCAACCUGACGUC
rnacentral:lncRNA from 1 species